AAAUUUGCUACAAACCCCAAAAAGUCGAAUAAUUUAUUUAUUUAUUAUUAUUUUUUAACGAUUUUUUUUUAUUUCCGAUACUUUAAAGCGAAUUGAAUUUGUAGACACUUCCUUUUCUCUCUUGAUGUUAGAAGAACACAAUGUAUUUUGCGAUUAAAGUGUGAUCGAUUUUGUUUUUUUGGACUGAUACAACAGAUCUAAAGUUUGUCAAUAGGUUCUCUGAAUCCCAGUCAAGCUUCUAUAGAGGAAUCCUGAGCGUGAGAUGACAGCGAGCCCUCAAGUUGCAUCGAAGAUGCAGACUUUAAAUUUUAUGAAAACCACUCAGGUAACUUCAAAUGAAUCUUUUGCUGAUGUAGAUGAGCAAUCAGCUCCUACCUAUGGAUAAAAGAUAUUUUUUGGAGAGAGAACACAGACAUAAAAACAAAACAACCAAAUGCUAGCUGCCUGGUCAUGUUAUGUGCUCUGGAGUGCCUUUGCGAUGGUGUGAGUUUGAACCAGCCCAUCAAUAUCCACAGUCGACCUGCUGGAAGUUUGAGCUUGAUGGGAUAAUAAUUUCUGAAACAACUUCAGAACUAAGCUCAUAAAAGAGAUUUCUUUUACACUCAAAAUCAACCAGUAAGAUCUUCUAUUGAUUAUAUAAGGGACUUUUUAACAAAUAUUCUUAUCAUGCAUGCAGGCAGAUUCAUCGGUGAUGCGAAAUCUACAUCCAACAAGUGUAAGGCAUAUACCAGGCUUUAACGGGUUGGUAUCUGGCCUCUCAAAACUCUUGCCUAUGUUGUAUAAUGAAGCUAUGGAUACUCAGUUCAUCAAAUUUAUUGUGGCCUGUGGUACACAUUUUGGAAAUUCAUAUUGCCCUAUGUCACCGCCACUGGAAUACAUACAUUGAUCAAAUCAGCAUCAAAAUAAAGUUUGGACAUAACUGAAAAUUAUUAAAACUAUGUAACUCUGGUGAGUACAUUUGAUGCUCUACAUCUAGUUAUUGUUAUCCCUUGACUUCAUGUAUGAACAGAAAUUUCAAACAAUAUCCAACACAUUCUGACAGCCGAAGCUAAUUACCAGGUUUAAAGGAGACCUCAUUAAAAGCUAUACAUUUGUUUGAAUGUAUUAAAAUAGAGUAUGAUACUGUUGUAUGUUUUUCCAAGAGAUUUAAUAUUAUAUUUCAUUAUUCUAACAAGUUUUGUGUCUAUGGUUGUCUGGUUUCUAAAAAAAUAUUUUUUUUCUAUAAAUUGUAAAAUAAUAUUUUGAAAUACAAUUUUCAUUAAUCAUUGGAAUAAUUAUUUUUUUUAUUUAGUACAUUAUAUGUAACAUUUAAAUAAUAUUAAAUUUAUCACAAUGAUGAUAUAUAUAUAUAUAAUUGAUCAUGUCCAAAUACCUUUUUAUAAAUGUUACAUAGAAGAUGAAUUUUUAAAAAUAUUUUUUUUUCUCAUUAUUUUGUACAAAAUGUAUACUUUUGCUGAUUUUAUUGUCACUAAAUAAAUAACUUUGAAUAUAAUCCA